UUUACAGCUGUGCUGCAGACUUCCUGCUAGGGACUUUGUGUUUAAGCUCUGUUAUCCAACUUUCACCUACCUGGGAAAAGCUCGUCAAUUUAAUAGUUUUAGAAAUGGCUCUUUAUGGGUACAGCUAAUGGCAGUUAUGCAAGUCAAAUCAUUCUCUGGAAAUCCUCUGGAGAUGAACAAGGCCAGAAACUGGCUGUACCUGCAUCAAGAUGUCCUGUAAUCAAGGGAUGAAUGUCCAGGUCUUUCAGCACUUCUGUACUGAAACACUUAGCAGAUAGGAUUGCUGAUCCUGCAGCAAACCUUCUUGUUCUGUGGCUGUCAGGGAUUGGCAAUACUUGUACGAUGCCUAGGGAGCAAACUCUGAGCUGCUGCAUUUCUGCUAUUGCAUGUUGUUGUUGUUGUAAGCCAUGACUAGGAGCUGCCUUAAGCUUCACCUUGUCACGUGUCACUGCCCUGACGCGUGCCAAGAGGUAAAGUAGGCAACACAGAUGGCAUCUGGGAGAAGGAGAGACAGGAGGAACUCAGCUUGGCAGAUACUGGAUCACAGCAGGAUAUCAGUAGUUUAUUUUGGAAAUAAUGGUUUGCUAAACAGCCAUUCUUUAACUGCAGUGGGUUAUUUCUAGCCUCAGUAAUAUUUUAUUAUUAUUAUUAAAAACAAAAGCAUACAGCAGUAACAGGAGAAUUGUGGUUCUCCUAGCUAAGAUUCGUUGCUCAUUAACAAUUUGGUUGUGUGAUUUUAGAUGUGCUGGACUUCUAAGUGCUUUUUUUUCCUAAUUCUUGUCGUACUCAAACACACCCAUUUUAAUUAGCAAGAAAUUAAACUUCCUGCAGGAAGAAGAGUAGUUUUAUCUGGUUUGUGCAUAGACUGCCUCCAUCACACUAGUGCAUAAUCAAAGAAAAUACAAUUCCUGCUCUGCAUAUCCGAGGCCCAGUCCUGUGCCACAGUUGCCCACAUAAGUGGGUGAUUCCUCGGGCUUUGCUUGGGUAAAAAGGAAUAUCUUGUAAUAAUAGUAAUAAUAAAAGAGUAAUUCUAUG
ensembl:lncRNA